CCAGAAUGUGGACAUAACCAGUACAUGACUCCGUAUGAGCCGAAUCUCCGUAAUUAUGCAGACAGUGGUCAAUUUCCAUGGGCGGUCCACGUGAGAGUGUUCAUCGACGCAGUUUCAUACAAGGAAUGUGAAGGGAGCAUUGUAACCAGGCGUCAUGUACUCACAGCUGCCCACUGCUUAAAAACGAACCGUCGCAUAAAUGCCAUUCGUGUACGCUACGGCGACAUCGACCUACGUCGAGCCAAGGAGGCCUCUGCCA
rnacentral:lncRNA from 1 species